AGUUUCCAGUGGCCAGGGGUACGCGCGGCCGGAGGGGCGCCGGGGCCGUACUCACCGCGGCCGUUCUGGUUGGGCCGGUACACGCUGCCCACGCUGAGGCGGCCCUGCUGCGCGCCGUUCCGCUCCCCACCCGGCGGGGGCGUGUCGGAGCUGCGCACCGGCAGGAGCUCCUGCCUGCCUGGAUGAAGAGGAGGUCAAGACUUUGUCCCCCACUCCGCAAGAUACCCUCUCUGUUCCGGAGCGGUGGGUCCCUCCCCUGUUAGGACCUUGUCUCCCUCAGGACUGGACCUGGAUCCUGGGCCUGCAGUCAGAUUGCCAGUUUCACUUAGAGGUGGAAAUGUCAACCCACUGGUUGGAAUGGGAAGCUGCUGUGUUGUGAGCCACCUUAUGGAAAACCCAUGUGGCAGAGAACCGAGGGUGGUGGCUGGCCAACAGCAAGCCAGGAGCUGAGGCCCACAGUCCAACAACUGGUGAGGAACCACAUGCUGCCAGCAGCCAUGUGAGGGAACUUAGAAGCAAAUCCUUCCCCAGUUGAGCCUUCAGAUGACACCAGAGCCUUGGCUGACCCCUUACUUUUACCCUUGUAAGAGACUUUGAGCCAGAAGACUUGGCUAAACCACACCUGGAUUCCUGACCCACAGAAACUUGAAAUAAUAAAUGUGUUGUUUUAAGUCACUCGGUUUUGGGGUA
rnacentral:lncRNA from 10 species